CUUAGGAUGGGACUGCGUCCGAUUAGGUUGUUGGCGGGGUAACGGCCCACCAAGCCUUUUAUCGGUACGGGUUGUGGGAGCAAGAUCCCGGAGAUGGAUUCUGAGACAUGAAUCCAGGCCCUACGGGGCGCAGCAGGCGCGCAAACUUUACAAUGCGAGCAAUCGUGAUAAGGAAACCCUGAGUGCCUGUCGAUGCAGGCUGUUCAUAUAUCUAAAUCAUAUGUGAAGAAAGGGCAGGGCAAGACCGGUGCCAGCCGCCGCGGUAAUACCGGCUGCUCGAGUGAUGGCCACUAUUACUGGGUUUAAAGCGUCCGUAGCUUGACUGUUAGGUCUCUUGGGAAAUCUUCGCGCUCAACGUGAAGGCGUCUAAGAGAUACCGGCAGUCUUGGAACUGGGAGAGGUAAACCGUACUUCGGGGGUAGGAGUGAAAUCUUGUAAUCCUCGAGGGACGACCUAUGGCGAAGGCAGUUUACCAGAACAGCUUCGACAGUGAGGGACGAAAGCUGGGGGAGCAAACGGGAUUAGAUACCCUGGUAGUCCCAGCCGUAAACAAUGUGCGUUAGGUGUGUCGGUAACCACGUGUUACUGAUGCGCCGAAGAGAAAUCGUGAAACGCACCACCUGGGAAGUACGGUCGCAAGGCUGAAACUUAAAGGAAUUGGUGGGGGAGCACCACAACAGGUGGAGCCUGCGGUUUAA
rnacentral:rRNA from 1 species